AACCAUGACACUGUGCUUUUCAUUCUUUUUACUACUAGAUGUCAUCAAAUAAGCAUUAUCUUCUGUUUAAUCUUUUUUAUUGAGCACAUUACAACGAACAUUAAGUCCUUCAAUCAAAAUUGCAUACAAAGCUAGCAAAGGACAAAGUAACUAAAACAUAUCAUCAUGUCUGUUGAGAAAGUAAUUUUUGCAGUGUAAUGGCUAUGUAGGUAAAACAAAUUAAAACAUUUAACCGACCAGUCAAACAUUAAAUAGUCUCAAAUCAAACAAAUUUCUCUCAUUAUAUUGUAGUCCAUAUAAACUAUACAAUUGCUACAAAACUCAUAGUGUAAGAGAAAAUAAAUAUCCUGUAGUGAAACAUUUUCUUUAUAAAGGCUCUCCACACCUUGUGACUUUAUUUACUUUGCUGUUUUAUAAGAUGGGUAACAGCGCCACUUACUGCAUAUGUUACUGGCGGGGAAGCGUUGCCUCUUUUUGACCAGAUAACUAGUCUGUGGCUGGUAAAGAGUUGAUGGUUGUAACAUCUUGACCAAAGCAUUUCUGUUAUCAAGGUCACCCUGGCACGACGCUUUGAUAUUGUGACAUCAUAAAGGGCACGCUCAAGUCAUCACGUGUAGAACAGCACGAGUCGUUCAUGCGUCCCAUUUGAAGUUCGCACCUCAUGACAGCUGCUGGAUUUCUCCUCCAAAAGUUCUAGAUGAGAGCUGAGUUGCCGUGACAACCGUGAUGCAUCAUCAGUCAACAAAGAGCAGCACCAAACUCUCAACUCUCUCAACUCUUCUCUUUUAUUGUAAAAGGAGGAGACCGGUAUACCCGGAGUAAACCCACGCUGACACCGGAAGAACAUGCAAACCCCACACAGAAAGGCCAUCUGACUUAGCCGGAGCUCGAACCGGGGACCUUUUUGCUGCCCUGUUUGACUCUCAUUAUAAAGGUAAGUGUGCAGUUUUAUAGUUUUAUCAGUAUUUUAUACAUGUUAAAAAACAUCACUGCAAACACACAAAGAAGACUUAGUAAGACUGAAGUUUAUUGGUUAGUUAAGUGGUCACAUUUGACA